UUAAGCGACUAAGCGUACACGGUGGAUGCCCUGGCAGUCAGAGGCGAUGAAGGGCGUGCUAAUCUGCGAUAAGCGCCGGUAAGGUGAUAUGAACCGUUAUAACCGGCGAUACCCGAAUGGGGAAACCCAGUGUGAUUCGUCACACUAUCAUUAACUGAAUCCAUAGGUUAAUGAGGCGAACCGGGGGAACUGAAACAUCUAAGUACCCCGAGGAAAAGAAAUCAACCGAGAUUCCCCCAGUAGCGGCGAGCGAACGGGGAGGAGCCCAGAGCCUGAAUCAGCAUGUGUGUUAGUGGAAGCGUCUGGAAAGGCGCGCGAUACAGGGUGACAGCCCCGUACACAAAAGCGCAUGUGCUGUGAGCUCGAUGAGUAGGGCGGGACACGUGGUAUCCUGUCUGAAUAUGGGGGGACCAUCCUCCAAGGCUAAAUACUCCUGACUGACCGAUAGUGAACCAGUACCGUGAGGGAAAGGCGAAAAGAACCCCGGCGAGGGGAGUGAAAAAGAACCUGAAACCGUGUACGUACAAGCAGUGGGAGCACCCUUCGGGGUGUGACUGCGUACCUUUUGUAUAAUGGGUCAGCGACUUAUAUUCUGUAGCAAGGUUAACCGUAUAGGGGAGCCGGAGGGAAACCGAGUCUUAACCGGGCGUUAAGUUGCAGGGUAUAGACCCGAAACCCGGUGAUCUAGCCAUGGGCAGGUUGAAGGUUGGGUAACACUAACUGGAGGACCGAACCGACUAAUGUUGAAAAAUUAGCGGAUGACCUGUGGCUGGGGGUGAAAGGCCAAUCAAACCGGGAGAUAGCUGGUUCUCCCCGAAAGCUAUUUAGGUAGCGCCUCGUGAAUUCAUCUCCGGGGUAGAGCACUGUUUCGGCUAGGGGGCCAUCCCGGCUUACCAACCCGAUGCAAACUGCGAAUACCGGAGAAUGUUAUCACGGGAGACACACGGCGGUGCUAACUCCGUCGUGAAGAGGGAAACAACCCAGACCGCCAGCUAAGGUCCCAAAGUCAUGGUUAAGUGGGAAACGAUGUGGGAAGGCCCAGACAGCCAGGAUGUUGGCUUAGAAGCAGCCAUCAUUUAAAGAAAGCGUAAUAGCUCACUGGUCGAGUCGGCCUGCGCGGAAGAUGUAACGGGGCUAAACCAUGCACCGAAGCUGCGGCAGCGAACGUAUCACCCAAGACAACUUUACGGAGUUGACGAUUGACGGAGCGAAGCGACGUCAAAGCGUUCAUUAAAGUCGAGUUGGCUUAGGGAUACGUUCGUUGGGUAGGGGAGCGUUCUGUAAGCCUGUGAAGGUGUGUCGUGAGGCAUGCUGGAGGUAUCAGAAGUGCGAAUGCUGACAUAAGUAACGAUAAAGCGGGUGAAAAGCCCGCUCGCCGGAAGACCAAGGGUUCCUGUCCAACGUUAAUCGGGGCAGGGUGAGUCGACCCCUAAGGCGAGGCCGAAAGGCGUAGUCGAUGGGAAACGGGUUAAUAUUCCCGUACUUGGUGUUACUGCGAAGGGGGGACGGAGAAGGCUAUGUUGGCCGGGCGACGGUUGUCCCGGUUUAAGCGUGUAGGUGUGUGUUCCAGGUAAAUCCGGUUCACUUUAACACUGAGGCGUGACGACGAGGCACUACGGUGCUGAAGCAACAAAUGCCCUGCUUCCAGGAAAAGCCUCUAAGCAUCAGGUAACAUCAAAUCGUACCCCAAACCGACACAGGUGGUCAGGUAGAGAAUACCAAGGCGCUUGAGAGAACUCGGGUGAAGGAACUAGGCAAAAUGGUGCCGUAACUUCGGGAGAAGGCACGCUGACACGUAGGUGAAGUGAUUUACUCAUGGAGCUGAAGUCAGUCGAAGAUACCAGCUGGCUGCAACUGUUUAUUAAAAACACAGCACUGUGCAAACACGAAAGUGGACGUAUACGGUGUGACGCCUGCCCGGUGCCGGAAGGUUAAUUGAUGGGGUCAGCGCAAGCGAAGCUCCUGAUCGAAGCCCCGGUAAACGGCGGCCGUAACUAUAACGGUCCUAAGGUAGCGAAAUUCCUUGUCGGGUAAGUUCCGACCUGCACGAAUGGCGUAAUGAUGGCCAGGCUGUCUCCACCCGAGACUCAGUGAAAUUGAACUCGCUGUGAAGAUGCAGUGUACCGCGGCAAGACGGAAAGACCCCGUGAACCUUUACUAUAGCUUGACACUGAACAUUGAGCCUUGAUGUGUAGGAUAGGUGGGAGGCUUUGAAGUGUGGACGCCAGUCUGCAUGGAGCCGACCUUGAAAUACCACCCUUUAAUGUUUGAUGUUCUAACGUGGACCCGUUACCCGGGUUGCGGACAGUGUCUGGUGGGUAGUUUGACUGGGGCGGUCUCCUCCUAAAGAGUAACGGAGGAGCACGAAGGUUGGCUAAUCCUGGUCGGACAUCAGGAGGUUAGUGCAAUGGCAUAAGCCAGCUUGACUGCGAGCGUGACGGCGCGAGCAGGUGCGAAAGCAGGUCAUAGUGAUCCGGUGGUUCUGAAUGGAAGGGCCAUCGCUCAACGGAUAAAAGGUACUCCGGGGAUAACAGGCUGAUACCGCCCAAGAGUUCAUAUCGACGGCGGUGUUUGGCACCUCGAUGUCGGCUCAUCACAUCCUGGGGCUGAAGUAGGUCCCAAGGGUAUGGCUGUUCGCCAUUUAAAGUGGUACGCGAGCUGGGUUUAGAACGUCGUGAGACAGUUCGGUCCCUAUCUGCCGUGGGCGCUGGAGAACUGAGGGGGGCUGCUCCUAGUACGAGAGGACCGGAGUGGACGCAUCACUGGUGUUCGGGUUGUCAUGCCAAUGGCACUGCCCGGUAGCUAAAUGCGGAAGAGAUAAGUGCUGAAAGCAUCUAAGCACGAAACUUGCCCCGAGAUGAGUUCUCCCUGAGACUUAGAGUCUCCUGAAGGAACGUUGAAGACGACGACGUUGAUAGGCCGGGUGUGUAAGCGCAGCGAUGCGUUGAGCUAACCGGUACUAAUGAACCGUGAGGCUUAACCUU
rnacentral:rRNA from 1 species